rnacentral:rRNA from 1 species
CAGUCGCCGCGGUAAAACGUAGGUGGCAAGCGUUGUCCGGAAUUAUUGGGCGUAAAGCGUGCGCAGGCGGCUUUGCAAGACAGAUGUGAAAUCCCCGGGCUCAACCUGGGAACUGCAUUUGUGACUGCAAGGCUAGAGUGCGGCAGAGGGAGAUGGAAUUCCGCGUGUAGCAGUGAAAUGCGUAGAUAUGCGGAGGAACACCGAUGGCGAAGGCAAUCUCCUGGGCCUGCACUGACGCUCAUGCACGAAAGCGUGGGGAGCAAACAGGAUUAGAUACCCCCGUAGUCCCUGUCUCUUAUAC